CUUGUAUGCAAACACAAACUCACUCUGGACUAAAUUAAUGAGCUAUAGUAUUUUGUUCUUCCCAGUUCUUUGUGUUUCCAAAGACAUCUAGUGUUUAGGUAUCUAUUUAGGCAUUCCUGAGCAUAUAAUGCAUGCUGCUCACAGCUGAAUUAGGUUAAUCAGCUCUUCUCCUGUUUAAAUCAGAGAUGCUGUUGGAUAUGUCAAUGGCUGGAAAAAGUUCUCCAGGUGGUGUGUAUUUUGCAAAACGAGUGGUUUGACAAAUCCACUCAAGGCAUCCAAGAUAAAUCCUUCAAACUACAAAUUCUAUUAUUACUGGGCAUGUGCUACCCCUCUGCAGUGACCUUGCCAUCCUAAGCAGGUUCUUAUGACAUCACCUUAAUGCCGUGGCUUAAAAACAGCUUAAUUAAUUUAGUGUCUAUGCAUUGCUGUCUGCUGCCAUUGUAACCUUCACAUAAAUAAAAAGAAGAUAAGGCACCCAGCUGCCUCUCAUGCAGAGCCCUGUGGGUCCUGGCCAUAACCCCCCAGCUGCUUCAGGGGUAUCUCUGAGGAACAUGAAGUCCAUCCCUGAAGAACCAGCCCAGGCAGACUCCAGCGGAGCAGUGGAUUUCUGUGCAGGUUGUGCCCAGGGAUCUUGUACUGGGAAUGCAGAAAUGGGCUGAGGCAGCAAAAGCACUGGAGGGAUGUAAGGUUUCAAUGUCAUCCUUUCUGCCAGCUCGGGAGAAGUUCAUGGAGACUUAAGGAGUUUGAACCAGUCACCUCGCUAUUGUCCUGCGCAGGGCUAACCUGUAUGGUACAAACAGAAUGUUGUCUGCCUUCUCCCCCUGCUUCUUUCUGUGUAAUUAAUAAUUACACAAAGGCACUGGAGAUGGAUAAGCAAAACAAUAAGCUAGGUUAGUUGGGGUAGUAAGUGGGCAGGGGUGAUGGCAGGAGUUAAGAUCACCAGUAAAUCCUCCGCUUUCUGUGAUUUGUUCACUAGUGCAAAUUGUCUUUCCCAACAGACCCCUAAGAAAAGGCAAGCAUAACAUAAAGUCACUAAGAGACAGGCAGUAUUUUUCCAGUUACCUCUGAGAAGACCUUUGCCAUCAUUCAUUUCCCAGAGACCCAAAAGAACUUUAAAAUGUCCUAUCUGGGCAAAUUUCCGCUAACAUAAAUUAUCAAUUUCAGCUCUUAUUGCCAAUGUAAAAAGUGACGUAAAUGAGAUGGGCUAGCCAUUUGUAACAUUAAUAUAUUGAAGUGAUGUGGUGCUUCAUCUUAUACAUACAUUUUUAUGUGUCCUUUAUUACUUACAUGGUUGACAGUAAAUUUUCCUAGUGUGCAUUGGUUCCCAUGAUGCCUUCAUUGUGCUGGAUCCUGAAAACAGUGAAACACUGCCAUGGGAAGGUGGGAAAUUACGAAUGUCAGGCCUGAUAAGGCACAAGUUUAAACAAUCAAUCUACUGACUGAGAAAUGAACUAAAUAGUGCUGAGAUACUUUCCUCUGUUCACAGGCAUGUGGGUAUAUGUUCACAGAAGAGAGGAGCUUCUCUCUCCCAAUGCAGCUGACAAAUAUUCUUCGCUCCUUACUGUUUCCUGCUUCUGUAUUUUACACCUUCUUGUAAAUUCUUAUCAUCAAAUUAAAAAUCUUUCUAAGAA